rnacentral:rRNA from 1 species
AACGAACGCUGGCGGCAUGCCUAACACAUGCAAGUCGAACGAGAUCUUCGGGUCUAGUGGCGCACGGGUGCGUAACGCGUGGGAAUCUGCCCUUUGGUUCGGAAUAACAGUUGGAAACGACUGCUAAUACCGGAUGAUGACGAAAGUCCAAAGAUUUAUCGCCAGAGGAUGAGCCCGCGUAGGAUUAGCUAGUUGGUGUGGUAAAGGCGCACCAAGGUGACGAUCCUUAGCUGGUCUGAGAGGAUGAUCAGCCACACUGGGACUGAGACACGGCCCAGACUCCUACGGGAGGCAGCAGUGGGGAAUAUUGGACAAUGGGCGAAAGCCUGAUCCAGCAAUGCCGCGUGAGUGAUGAAGGCCUUAGGGUUGUAAAGUUCUUUUACCCGGGAUGAUAAUGACAGUACCGGGAGAAUAAGCUCCGGCUAACUCCGUGCCAGCCGCCGCUGUAA